rnacentral:rRNA from 1 species
CCUCUUUCAGUAGGGAAGAAGCCUUCGGGUGACGGUACCUGCAGAAGAAGCGCCGGCUAACUACGUGCCAGCAGCCGCGGUAAUACGUAGGGCGCAAGCGUUGUCCGGAAUUAUUGGGCGUAAAGAGCUUGUAGGUGGCUUGUCGCGUCUGCCGUGAAAACCCGAGGCUCAACCUCGGGCGUGCGGUGGGUACGGGCAGGCUAGAGUGUGGUAGGGGAGACUGGAACUCCUGGUGUAGCGGUGAAAUGCGCAGAUAUCAGGAAGAACACCGAUGGCGAAGGCAGGUCUCUGGGCCAUUACUGACACUGAGAAGCGAAAGCAUGGGUAGCGAACAGGAUUAGAUACCCUGGUAGUCCAUGCCGUAAACGUUGGGCACUAGGUGUGGGGGACAUUCCACGUUUUCCGCGCCGUAGCUAACGCAUUAAGUGCCCCGCCUGGGGAGUACGGCCGCAAGGCUAAAACUCAAAGGAAUUGACGGGGGCCCGCACAAGCGGCGGAGCAUGCUGAUUAAUUCGAUGCAACGCGAAGAACCUUACCAAGGCUUGACAUGCACCGGACGGUCGCAGAGAUGUGGCUUUCUUCGGACUGGUGCACAGGUGGUGCAUGGUUGUCGUCAGCUC